rfam:Burkholderia vietnamiensis G4 plasmid pBVIE01, complete sequence.
GUCGUCGUGAGGCGGGGUCUGAAGGAAGCGUGUAGCAAAGCCACGACCUGACGAACAGAAACCAGAUAUGAGGCCUACCCGGCCGGACGAGCGAGCAAUGGAUCGCGAAGUCCGCAACCAUCAAGGGCCGGGGUGGUAAAUCUGGCAGGUGUGUGGUGAAGGCGGUUGGG